UACGAAGGGGGCUAGCGUUGUUCGGAAUCACUGGGCGUAAAGCGCACGUAGGCGGACUCUUAAGUCGGUGGUGAAAUCCUGGAGCUCAACUCCAGAACUGCCUUCGAUACUGAGAGUCUCGAGUCCGGGAGAGGUGAGUGGAACUGCGAGUGUAGAGGUGAAAUUCGUAGAUAUUCGCAAGAACACCAGUGGCGAAGGCGGCUCACUGGCCCGGUACUGACGCUGAGGUGCGAAAGCGUGGGGAGCAAACAGGG
rnacentral:rRNA from 1 species